GACGAACGCUGGCGGCGUGCCUAAUACAUGCAAGUAGGACGCAGAUGCGAACGGGUGAGUAACGCGUAGGUAACUACCUAUUAGAGGGGGAUAACUAUUGGAAACGAUAGCUAAUACCGCAUACUAGUAGAUGGACCGGCGUUGUAUUAGGUAGUAGGUAGGGUAAUGGCCUACCUAGGCAACGCAACAUAGCCGACCUGGGAGGGUGAGCGGCCACACUUGGGCUUAGACACGGCCCAGGCUCCUACGGGAGGCAACAGGAGGGAAUCUUCGGGAAUGGGUGGAAACCUGGCCGGGCAACGCCGCGUGAGUGAAAAAGGUUUUCGGAUCGUAAAGCUCUGUUUUUAAGAAAGCGGUACUUAACCAGAAAGGGACGGCUAACUACGUGCCAGCCGCCGCGGUAAUAC
rnacentral:rRNA from 1 species